GGAAGAGGUCAAAAGAGGAGGACUUGAUGGUUGACUUUGAAGCUUCCGAGCAAGUAACGAUGAUGGCGGCGAAGGGAAGGUGAAAGCGAAAGCGUGUAGCGUCUAAUUAUGUUUUCCUGCUACCAGCAAAACGCUGCGUUUGGAAUAUAACCACACAUAAGAACGAGAAGUCUAAAUUUCCAGAUCACUAACCGUCAAAGUUGGCCCGAACUGAGGCCCAAGGACAAUCAGACACUAAGAUGCCUCGAGAGGAACCCGACUAAGACAUUCAUAGAGGCUGGUGAUCAUUCCAUGUUAAGUCACUAGUGGCCACGCACGACAGAUAUGAGUUUCUUCGUAUUGGACCCAAAAGUCCUCAAAAUAAUCACAACAAAUCUCCGAGAGGUAACUUCGAACCCUUGACUUUGCGGACAACAGUAAGGAGCACAUACCACUUGACCACUGAUACAUGGUUAUAAUCAAUGUCUUUGACAUAGUAGAUUAUCUAUAAGAUUCAGCAUAAGUUAUAUUAUUGUUACUAAAUGUUGUUGUCAACUAGAAAAUGAAAACUAGUUAACAUAAGUUAUAUUACUGCUAAAGCCGGACAAAAAAUUAGUAAUUUUUGAUUCGAUUCGUUAUCCGUUUAUUUGAACCGAAAAAUUCGAAUUAUUAAUAUACAAUAUCCGUAAAAAAUAAAACAAAUUACAAAUAUUAAUAUUUUA